GAUGAUUAUAAUGGUAAAAUUGAAUACAUAUUUUUGGUUUGUUCAUAAGAGGGUUAUUGUAAUUUCACUAGGCUUUUGGAUUACUUUUGCAUUUGAUUGAAUUUGAGCUACACUUUUGUAUUCAAAAUCAUGUUUUGCGAUUCCGUACGGGCCUUUUUUUGCUUUUGGAUGGGCUUCAGUCCGUUCGUCACGGCCCUGCUAAACCUGAUCGUCUCCUUUGUUCAUCUGAUUUUGACUUGGGCGGGAAAGAUGAAUCUGAUCAUCUUCUUCUUGCUGUAAUUAGGUCAACCGACUAUGGAGUUUCUGGAGGUGUAUUUGAGAAGAAUCUUGGUAAUGAAUCUCUGGAUCGAGCUUUGUUCGUGUCGUUUCGUUUGAGAUUCUUCUCCUCUUGACCGUUAUGGGAUGCAUUGAUUCAAGCCAUUAACGACUUUCUUUAAUCCUUCGACCCAUUACAACUACGUUUAAUCAUUCAAUGCAUAUUCCUCUCUUCUCAACCUAAACAGGCUAUGUAAGUACCUACCUGUGGAAUGGGUGAAUAUCAAUCUCCGAACUGCGAUUUCAUUAUCCUGUAAUUGCAUAUAAUUUUUUUCGUAAUUGUUAUGUUUAUACUAACGAAAUCAUUGUAUUUGGAUUUGUAUAUGGGUUACCUAGAAAAAUGGUUUCUUCUGGAGAGAUUCUUUGCUAGGAGAUAAUUCUUCUGAAGAGUAGCAGUGGUGAGUGUUUGUUUUGGCUUACUUUGUAUCAUUAGAGUCCGUUUCUUGAUUUUUUUUUUUUUUUUUGUGUUGUUAGGUUGAUAUUUUAGAUCUCAAGCAUACUGUUAAUUCACCGAUUGAUUCGUGCAUGGUAUGGCGUCUUCUAUAUUCACAUUGAUUUCUUUUCUUUGCAGUGUCUCUUCUGCUGGAAGAAUAUAAAAUUUUAGAAUGCAAACUCUAGCUGCGCCGUACUCUCCAUGUGCACGUACUGCAUAGAAGUGGUUCCUUCUUAUAUGCAUAUGUCCAUAAGGCUGAAUUGUUUUGAGUAUUAGUUCCUGGUUUGAAGGCUGUUUCUUUCAGCUCUGUCAGAAAAUUUUCAGUAAACUUAUCUUGAGUGGUUUAAUCUUACAAACUACUAAUUGUUUUGUGGACCUUAUCUAAAUACAUUUUUCUUUUUAUUGUUUGCUGGUAGGUACUGAAAUGAAUUCAGUUGUGGCGGAAUGAUGAAUAUCACUGCACAAGAAACAGUCCUGCUCAAACAAUGUCAAGGAUUCUUAUCAAGGUACUGUGUUGAGAUGACUGUCUCGGAUGACUCUGCUGUGUUUGUAGGUUUUGCGAUGCAAUGGAGAAAUAUUCCUGCUUCUGCAGUGUCACAAAAUGUGAAGAAUACCCGCAGAACAUGGCCAUUCCACAAUUCCUAAGGAAUAUUGUGGGGGAGGAACUUCACAUUAGACCUCAAGAUUUCUCAGUUCAAUUUUUCAUCUGAGCAACAGUUAUUUACCAUCACACACAAUUUUUUACCGCAACCAGCACCCACCACAUCCUAAUUUUGGUAUUUAGGUCAGUUUACUAUCUUGGCUUUAUCAUUUACAUAUUCAAUACAUAGCAGUGUGAUCUUAACACUGUCGCCUUUACAGAAAGGUCAUGACAACGCAUGCAGUGAUAUCUCAACUCUUGGAGUUCAUAAUGCUAACCUGUGGUGUCAACUACCCUGCAGGCUCUUCUAUUUUAAUUCUCAAAUUAAUAAGUUUUCCAACAACUAUUUGUUUAUGGGUUUUUAAUCAUUUAGUUUUAAACUUUUAAAACAAUCAUUCAGACUCUUGCAAGAAAACUAUGUUCUCUGCUUCAGUAUUAUUGCUAUUGGGCCUAUAAAUUAGAUUGGAUCUUAUUAUUA